UACAAGAAACAGCAAGCAAAUCAUUUGGUUUUGGCAGUUUGUGAAAGAGACAGACAAUGAAGUAAGAAUGCGACUAUUGCAGUUCGUCACUGGAACCUGCCGUUUACCUCUAGGAGGAUUUGCUGAGCUCAUGGGUAAAUGUAGUUUCACUGUAAUUUCUCUGUAGGUAAUUUUGUGAUAAUAAUGGCCUUUGGACAUGCAAUAGACUUGAACCUAAAGAUUACUCUUCUGUGCUGUAGGUAGGGCUUCAUUUAGAAGAAAGAAAAAUGAAUGGCUAAUAUCAAAGCACUCGUAAGACAAAAAUGAAUGUGUCCUCAUAUAGCUGAGGUGGCCAUUGCUUUACUCCCUAUGGUGACUGUGAAGGGAGCGACAUUCUGUAGAGAGAGUUUUCUUCCCACUGAUCUAAUUCUUAUUGCUGGAUCUCUGCAACAAUUUUGUUCAUCAGGCAGAAGCAGCUUACAUUGCAAAUUUCUUUAUUUUGUAUCAUUCAUAUGACUAUGCAACAUGUUCUAUUAUUUAAGCAGUUGUCAGAAGAAAAAAGUUUAAAGGACC
rnacentral:sRNA from 1 species